GAAAUUGCCCAUUCGUUUUCAUAUCAACCUUGACCACUUUAUAGUGUAUAGAUCAGGACAUGUAUAAACAGACGGUAGGUUUCUGCAUGUAGUGAUCAAUAUCUAGACUGAUUUAUAUAUCAAUCUGAGUACAUUGUACAUACCUGGGUUAUUGUAUUGCAAAAUAUUGAGAGAUGUAUAUAUAAUCUGAGGUACUUAUUAGGUUAUAGGAGAAUGGUAAUUGAAAUCGUAAAAUGUCUUUUUUUUUAAAUUAUUUUAAAGUCUGGGUAAUUCUGGAUUGUUCGUGAAUCUUUUUUAGUAUUGGAGAUACAUGAAAAUGCUGGAACCUUCCCCGAUGCUUGAAAUUGGAAGUUGUCCGAGGACAGAGCAAAUCCUUAUUAUGUAAAGAUGCGGAAGAGGAAACUACCAAUACAGGCGGUUGAUGUCCAAAGGCAACAAAAACAGAACACGUCACGGGUGAAGGACUAGUAAAUGCGUUGAUACUUUUCUUUAAAGAUAAACACGUUGGAAGUUUUGGAGAUGGUCCUGGUGUUUACAAACAACGUAUAUUAUAUUCAGGGAAAGUUAAGAGUUUCUACUAGUUUGAUCAACAGAUGCUGACAGACAGCCCGAAUGAGCAUAUAUUUAUCGAGAUCAGAAAAAUGAAUAUUUCCAUGCGGGCAUCAUUUGUAACCUGCUUACAUAUCGAAUUCCAACCCAGAAGCAACAUGCGUCUUUUCAAGGAGCUCGUUUUGAAUACAUCUUCGGACAUUAGAAGGGGUGUACAGCUCUUCUCGGUAGACGGCAAAUCGAAAAGCCUAUAUAGUCGAUGAGCCAGACCCAGUAGUUUUGGCCAGCGGAACCAUCCGAGGGGAUUAAAACUCAAUGCUAUUUUUGGAUAUCUGACAAUUCAGAAACUAUGUGAUGGCAUUGCAUUGGUGGUAGCUUUUUGUGAGUUAUUAGCAGUAACCCCAUCCCAAAAUAGACUUUCAUCGAACUUCUGUUAUACAUCAGAAGACUUUCUAUUUCAAACUAAUGGUUCUCUUUUAUUUUUGACUAUAUUUGCUUGGAAAUUGAUAGACAAACAGCUCAGUUUAUGUAUUUUAUGUAUUUUAUAGAACUGUGGUUGAACAAUUGCCUCUUUAGCGUUUAGUGAUUGCAAUUACAGACACACAUAGACCAGUGCUUAAACAUAAUUAAAGAACACAAAUAUUAUUUCAUAAUAUGCAGUUAGAAAGAUGUUUUGCUCAUUCUUGAACUAGUAUGACAUGUUAAAAUACAUAGAGUAUAAGGCAGUAGAAUUCUACAGAUCACAAAAUCAAAUUGUCUGCCAUUGGCUGUUGGGGCGCUUGUAAUUUACGGCCUAUCAAUGUGCGUUACCUACUUGUUUGAAAUUAAUUAGUACUUCUAUAAAUGAUAUGGAACAAAAAAGUAUGAAUAUCGUUAAAUCAAAGCAAUUUCUUAACUAGUUUUGAUAUGUUUAAUCUAUAAUUAGACAGAUAUUGGCAUGCCAUUUUUUUUAUUAUCAAAGUCGCCUUGUUGGCAUUGUUAUUUACGUGACAAUACACGUGUAGACGCAAACACCAAAAUAUGUUAUUUAAACAUGAUGUUUUACUAUUUGAUCUGUCUAAAAGUUGCAUACUCAUGCCUACUUCUGUAUCAAUGUUCUUAUGCUUAAACAGUAAACAUUUUUAUGCUGAAUAAUAACAGAUGAUACUUUUGUACAGUAAAAUACGUUACCAUAAAAUCAAGAUUUUCAUAAUAUUUCAUUUAAACAUGAUAAAGUGGUUGUUAUUUAGUAUUAUGUUUAGAAAAGAAACUUUUUAACUAAUCAAUAAAAUCAUUCUACAAUUAGAUAUCAAAUGUCAUGUUAAUUAAUUGAAUGGAAAAGUGUAAUUUAUGUUACAAUAUGUUACCGUAAUCGGUAAUAUGCUUGUCACAAACUGACAUACGGGCCUCAUUGUAUCUGUAGUGUAAAUGCAGGCAUUGUAUCAUCUUUUUGUAAAUGUUUUACUUAUUGAGGUAAAUGUCUGACUUUACGUAUAAAAUACCUCUCAUGUUUUUCUGUAUUUCCUAACUUAAAUUUCCAUUCAAAAUUCGGUUCAGUAAUAAGAAAGAUGAUAUUUUUUAGACUUCAGUAAUUUGUGUUUUUAUCCCCAAAACCACUAAACGGGCCUUAAAUUGUCAAUUUCAAUCCGCGUCAAAGUAGUCAGAUUUCCCGGCUAUAUCGUGAUUUCCGUGGAAAUAAAAACAGUCGGAGUACACGCAUAAGCCGUGAAGCCCAUGAAAUUUAGUAUUUGGCGGGACAUUACCCUGCAAAUAGACUGGUCUAGAUAUGCCUAGCGCACACCACAUUUCGACAUUAGACAAAUCUACUUCAAAUUUAUUUUUCUUGGUAGAAAUUUAUGCUCGAACGAGGUAAAAAGUUUAUUUGUUAGAUUUUUGUAUAAUUUUGGAAUUACGAUUUUUAUUUAGUAAAUUUUUGGUCAUUCUACAGAAUUCUGUAACAUUUAUUUUUCGGCAUGUGAUUUUGGCUAGUUUCGGUAUGUCAGGAUAAUUUAUUAAAUUUUUUUAGACUUUUGUAAAUUAUCCCGAAAGAGGAGUCUAAAAUGUUUCGUUUAUAUAAGCUGUAAGAUUUGUACUGAAAUUUGUGUAACGUGAUAAUUGUAAAGUACUCUUUGUCAAAAACAUAUGUCAAACAUUUCGUUGUUAAUUAUGAAACGCCAUAUCUGCAUUGCAUUGUAAUGUAUAAAUCUAUGUGGCAAGUCUAGUAUCAUGUAUAUAACAUGUUAUUGUAAUUUGAAAUAAUUGUGUGCCAGUCUAUAGCACAUCUAAACAGUGUCCGUUUUGUUGUAUGGCAUUUGAUAUUAUAUUGAUACCAGCUAUUGUAUAUCGUUUCAAUUCGCAUUGUAUUGUGCAAAUUUGUAGUUGUAAAUAAUAGCUGCAGUUUAUCUUUUUCGUAUCAAGAAUUUUUCAUCAUAAACUUUUCAUAUCUUUUCCAUACGUUGACUUUAGACUUUUAAGUAAUUCAAUUUAGAAAUAAUGCAGGUAAUAAUUGACGUAUUUUAAUCACGUGACGUAUGAACUUAGUAGCACAUAUAUUUUGUAUAAGUAGCACGUGUUAUUUAUGGGAGCCUACGGAGGUAUGGUGUACCCAAAGGAGCAGUUUUAUGCCCUGAUUAAUUUGUUUUGCUAUGUAGCUUACCAUAUGUUAUAUAUUUUAGCUGCUUCCGCCAGACGAUUUUUACCUGGUGAUGAUGUCACAACCCGGAAGUACAAUGCCCGAGGUUCACUUGUCUUCACUCGCCUGGAUGUGAUUUUCCCAGCGCAGAGCUUUCGUCCCAUGGUUGUGCCGUAAACCGCAAAGUCGAUGACUUUUGUGAUCCACUGAAGUCAGCUCAGGGAUCCAAUCACCUUCCAUCAUAGGGAGCCAAAACGGAGUCAACGUAUUCACGGUUUAAAGGGACUUUACUUGAAGAUAUGUUGUAUUUUUGUGCUACUUAAAGUUCGAAAUUAACGGAAACAACUGUGCUACGUCACGUUAAAACGGAACUGUCAGUGUUAGAACUUUAUAUCUAGAGAUAUUGAGCUCAGAUUUUCUUUCUUUCUUAUAAUCAGAUUUUUUUUUCAUUUAUUAUUUAUUCAUUGUUAAUAAUCAUUUGAUGUAAAUAAAUUUGUAAAUAUUGUAAUGGGUGUUGAUUUGUUCUGAUAGUUAUUGUCCCCGGUACGUCCAUCCUGUCACAAUGCUGCUGUUAUUAUUUUCAGUCAUUGUCUUUGUAUAUCAUGUCAAGGUUAUUCUUUGUUUUCAAUAAACCAUAUAUUCUAUCUAUUCAGUAUACUAGAACAUUCAUAGUUAUGACUCUCCAUCACUGUCUGAAUCUUAUAAGAUAUCGUCAAUAUUGGUUAGCUCAUAAUCUUCAUCAAUUUCACUGGUUUCGUUUAUGUCAGUGUUGCACAAUAUGUCAACAAGUUUAUCAGGAACAUUUUUUUUUGUCCUCAAGUUGUACACUAACUGUUGUUCGUCAUCAAGUCGCAGCAAUUUUUAUCAACACCAAGAAGAUAAAGGCUAUUCUCAUGGGCAUGUAACUAAAUAUACACCUUAAAGAAAAGAUCAAGGUCGUUUAAUGUUAUAUGAAUAAAACUACAAAAGUAUUAAUUUAAUGUAAAAAGACAUUAAGGGAUUGUAUGAAAUUUGCGUCUAUUAAAAAUAAAGUGUUCCUAUUUUUUACAAUAGCUACGCAAAUAUGUAUAUUAAAAAUUUUGUAGAUUAAUAUAAAUAAAUGAAUAAGUAACUGAUAGCUGACUGGUCUGACAUGGUGGCAACAAGGUCAUGUCUAUGCCAUCGGAACUAUCAAGAACGCCGUCUUGGUUGCCGUUCUUCUUGACAAACAUUUCGUACCUAACCUUGUUGAUGUUCCGAUAUUUGGAUGACCAUUAUACUGCAAACACAAAUGAUUCUCCGUCCUCCAAAACGUCGUCGGAGCAUACAUGUUGACGUCCCACCUGUUAAGCUGUCUGAACAUAAUUGAGUUUUGUUGUCAUCAUUGCUCAUGAAAUAUUUCCAAUUCUGCGGAUGUUUUGAUAUUUUUGACGGUAAAACAGACGUGUUUGUGCAGUUCCACGUCGUUUUCUUUCGACAAGCUAGAUUGUUUUGGAAAAGUAUGAAUCUGCAACGAAAUCUACUAUGAAAACAUCGCCAUCAAUGAUGUGAGAUACA